AGCGAACGCUGGCGGCAGGCUUAACACAUGCAAGUCGAACGGGCGUAGCAAUACGUCAGUGGCAGACGGGUGAGUAACGCGUGGGAACGUACCUUUUGGUUCGGAACAACCCAGGGAAACUUGGGCUAAUACCGGAUAAGCCCUUACGGGGAAAGAUUUAUCGCCGAAAGAUCGGCCCGCGUCUGAUUAGCUAGUUGGUGAGGUAACGGCUCACCAAGGCGACGAUCAGUAGCUGGUCUGAGAGGAUGAUCAGCCACAUUGGGACUGAGACACGGCCCAAACUCCUACGGGAGGCGGCAGUGGGGAAUAUUGGACAAUGGGCGCAAGCCUGAUCCAGCCAUGCCGCGUGAGUGAUGAAGGCCCUAGGGUUGUAAAGCUCUUUUGUGCGGGAAGAUAAUGACGGUACCGCAAGAAUAAGCCCCGGCUAACUUCGUGCCAGCAGCAGCCGCAGUAAC
rnacentral:rRNA from 1 species